rnacentral:misc_RNA from 1 species
UUACCGUAGGUGACCUGCGGUAGGAUCAUUGUCGGUUCUGGCCCCCUGAAUCGUGUAGGGUAGGAGGCGAGGGAGGCACGCCGAACUCGUCUCUUUCCCGCCCCUCGCCCUCGACGACGUGUGGACGGUCGGGCCUCGUUGCCUCAAGUCCCGCGCCGUCGGCUCGAGGUGAUCGAAUGCCGUGGUGGGGUGCAUGCCCUUUUCGGAAGAGGCCGAGUCUCUGUCCCGUCGAGUUCGCAUGCCCCGAUCGCGCGCGCGGCGCUGUGUCGGCGAUCCGUCGCUUCUGCGACGGGAAGUCGGGACUGCCGCAACCCCCCGUUACGUUUCCCAGGGGGGCAGCAUGUCGCUUGGAGCGUUCCCCGCCGUGGACGAGUGCACUCCAGUUCGUGGGGUAGGACCCGCCGUCCAGCUGCAGGGUUCUUUCUAGGCGGCAUCCUCCUGCGUGAUGCAACGGGGCGGGGACACGCACCUUCCCCCGGCGACCCUCCAUCGAGGGCACUGGCGGACGGUUUGUGUCAACACCUUACACACCGGUGCGACCCGCACCAAGAAGUCCAAAAACAUUGAAGCGUGGCCCAAGCGCCUUGUGCGUUUGGGUCGCCAGAAAAGCAUUGAAUGCUAAAAAAAAAACACGACUCUCGGCAACGGAUAUCUCGGCUCUCGCCACGAUGAAGAAUGUAGCGAAAUGCGAUACUUAGUGUGAAUUGCAGAAUCCCGUGAAUCAUCGAGUCUUUGAACGCAAGUUGCGCCCGAGGCUUCGGCCGAGGGCACGUCUGCUUGGGCGUCGCACUCCAAAAUCGCCCUCCCCCACGGAGGAGCGGAGAUGGCCGUCCGUGCCCGCCAGCGGCGCGGUCGGCUGAAAUGAGCACGAGGUCCCUCGCCCCGUCGCGACGAGCGGUGGCCUAUGCGGGUCGGCGUUGGUUUGUGCGGGUCGAGUGAGGCCAAGUGUAGAACUUUAACCGGGCUACAGCGCCCUGCCAACGUGCGGGUGCGCUUGGCCCCUGCCGCGUCCCCAAGUCAGGC